ensembl:lncRNA
AGAGCAGUCAUCUUUAACAUUUUUGUUUCAACGUCCAGCGGAUCGACGUUUCGUGUCUUAGACGUAAAAUUCGAAUUUACGCAACUCUAACAAUUGGUGACACCGACGUGAUAGAAGGACUACGCUGGAGAUUGUCCGGCCGAUUGGCCAUUGCUGUCAUCGGACGGUGUUUCUCUUAAAAAGACCGGUCUACUAAAAAGCUCUCUGAUGCAGGUACUUACACCCUUGGACAGGAAAGGGCUGGGGACGACAUGGGCCUGUUUUCUGUUAAGGUGCUGACAAAACCACAGAGGUCCCAGACAAACCAGAGCCAGACACACCCCUCUACCACCCCUGGACCGGACCUGCCACCUACCACCACUGUCUCAAAUCCCAUUCAGCCUCACCUUCAGCCUAGCAGUCCCAUCUGAACGACCCGAAGCAGAAGAUAAAGGAUCGAAUCGGGGCAAUGUAAAAGGGGUACGAGGAACCCCUUCCUCCGCCCUGUCCUCCGACUUGGCAUCAGAAGGUCUACCCGUCUCCUGUCCUUGCAAUGAGAGAAUCCGUUCUCUCACUAAACCCUCCCUGACUAGCACCAAAAGCUCAGCCUUUAGGGCUUUCUCAGGGAAAACAAAUCCAUAAUGGUCAGCUAUAGCUAUAAGGUCUACUGAUGCAGCCAUCUUAUUCAACGCAGUUUCCUGAACACACUAACUAAACAAGUCAUCCAAACUCACAACCUACCAUCACACCUCAAUCACUAACCACAGAGAGCUCAGAGCAGCAGGGUCCGGGGGUUUAAUGGAAAGAUCCCGGAUGAGCCCCCAUUAUGUUACACACGCCUCUAUGAAGAGGGAACGCAACACCCUGCUACAACUAAACUCUCCGUGAAGUGAAAGAGGUAUGGACUGUAGGUGCGAGUAAGGAUGACAACAGGCAGAAUGUGGUACCGUUUACAAGGACUUUAUUCCUUUACACGGUAAUAUGGGGAAAAGGGGCUGGACGGAACCAAAGCAAAGAAA